UUGAAUGUUACUCCUUUCACUCUGUUUCUGCGUAUUGAAACACGCAUAUACUUCAAGCCACCUUUUAAAAUCGCACGUUCCCCAUGUUUGUGAAACAUUCGCACAACCAACGCGAAAGAAAGCAACAGUUCAGCAUCCUCGAAACUAAGGAAACGAUAUAUAAGAAAUAUAAAGAAACGAAUUAAAAUCCUUCCGAUCACCGUUAAACUAGAUUCAAACUACCUUUAUCAUGACGAUCCACAAUUUGAUUUGAAAUCUAUCCUCUUGGGACAUGCGAUCUUACAGGAAGUCAGCUCAGCGUAUUUCCUCGUUUCAGUUCACCUGUUCUAGUCCAUCUGAGAAAGUUGGCGGCCCUUCGACAUGGUUGUUGACUAUCAUCUUUACCACCUUCUUCGAUCACGUUUCGCGCGCUCCCGAUCCCUCGAUUAAAAAAAAAAAAAAAAAAA